UCCCUGGUAGUAUAUCGGUUAGUACACGCGCUUGUCAUUUCGGAAGGUGGAUGUUUGCGCGCGAAAGCUGGGUUCGACUCCCAGCCAGGGAG